rnacentral:rRNA from 1 species
UACGUAGGAGGCAAGCGUCGUCCGGAGUUACUGGGCGUAAAGCGCACGCAGGCGGUCGCAUCAGUCUGGGGUGACAGUUCCCGGCCUAACCGGGAAAGUGCUCUGGAAACUGUGCGACUUGAGGGCUUCAGAGGGAUGUGGAAUUCCAGGUGGAGUGGUGAAAUGCGUAGAGAUCUGGAAGAACACCAAAGGCGAAGGCAGCAUCCUGGGAAGUUCCUGACGCUCGGGUGCGAAAGCCAGGGGAGCGAACGGG